rnacentral:rRNA from 1 species
UACGAAGGGGCUAGCGUUGCUCGGAAUCACUGGGCGUAAAGGGCGCGUAGGCGGACUUUAAGUCGGGGUGAAAGCCCAGGGCUCAACCCUGGAAUUGCCUUCGAUACUGAGAGUCUUGAGUUCGGAAGAGGUUGGUGGAACUGCGAGUGUAGAGGUGAAAUUCGUAGAUAUUCGCAAGAACACCAGUGGCGAAGGCGGCCAACUGGUCCGAUACUGACG